GAGGGAGGUGGCCCCACGGGAAGAACACGAUGCUAAGAUCAAGACCACGGAAAGGCAGGCCCCGUGCUGGGGGCUGAGCUGGGUCCUCUCUGCUGGCUCCCCCAGCUCAGAGUGUGACCCUGGAAAUCUUGUUCAGUCCCUAGAUGCCACCUGUCCUGGGAAGGGCAGCCUCUGAGAAGCCGAGAGCUGGAGGCUGUCUGCUGAGCCCCGUCCCCAAGGCAGGUGACCCCCACACCCCACCAGCUCCAGACUGGACCCUAGGGCCAUGGGGCUGUGGCAGUGAUGAUGGAAACCAGGAAGGCGGGCAGCUGCAGGGAACCAGAGUGAGGCAGGGGCUGCCUGGGAAACUGGAACGGGACUGGGGAGCCAGGAGGCCGGGCUUUGGCAGAAAGUCAUCUUACCCAAGUGUCCCCAAACCAAAAUCCCACUUACAGGAAAGGAAAAUCAGAGUUCAAGAGAAUGUGAACCUGGGGAGUCUGUUUAGAAACCACUGGGAAGGAUGGAAAGGAUCAGUCACUCAAGAGGGUGGAUGAUGGAGCUGCUGGCACACACCAACUUGAAGUGCACAUGCCACUAGCACCUGCUGUCCCCACUGGCCUGCCUAUGCUGAGCAUUGGGCCUCCGUCUCAUUCCAGAGGGGCUUCUGUCGUCCAGGACCCCGCAGCUGCCCCUGCCUGCUUCUUCCUGCCCUUUCACCUCCUCUAAGGGCCAAGUCUAAAAUCCAAAGACCCCCAGAUUUCUGCACCCUGGAUUGUCACCAUGAUUUCUAUCACUUAAGACAGCAGCUGAAAAGCCAGCCUGGUGGCACAUGCUUGUAGUCCCAGCUGCUCAGGGGGCUGAGGCAGGAGUCUGAGGCCAACCUGAGUGAUAGAACAAAACCUCGUCUCUUAAAACAAAACAGAGUUCAGUUGA